UACGGAGGGUGCAAGCAUUAAUCGGAUUUAUUGGGCGUAAAGGGCGCGUAGGCGGGAAGAUAAGUCAUGUGUGAAAGACCGGGGCUCAACCUCGGAGCCGCACGUGAAACUGCCUUUCUUGAGGGCGGGCGGAGAAACGGAAUUCCACAAGUAGCGGUGAAAUGCGUAGAUAUGUGGAAGAACACCGGUGGCGAAAGCGGUUUCUAGCUCGCUCCUGACGCUGAGGCGCGAAAGCAAGGGGAUCAAACAGG
rnacentral:rRNA from 1 species